rnacentral:misc_RNA from 1 species
UUUCCGUAGGUGAACCUGCGGAAGGAUCAUUACAGAGAACAUCGCCCUUACGGGUGACUCUCCAACCCUAUGUUAUUAUACCUUUGUUGCUUUGGCGAGCCGCCUCGGCCACCGGCUUACGCUGGUGAGUGCUUGCCAGAGAACCCCAAACUCUGAGUUUAAAUAUCGUCUGAGUACUAUAUAUUAGUUAAAACUUUCAACAACGGAUCUCUUGGUUCUG